CCUACGGGUGGCUGCAGUGGGGAAUUUUGGACAAUGGGCGCAAGCCUGAUCCAGCCAUUCCGCGUGAGUGAAGAAGGCCUUCGGGUUGUAAAGCUCUUUCGCAAGGGAAGAAAACUUAUCCUCUAACAUAGGAUGAGGUUGACGGUACCUUGAUAAGAAGCACCGGCUAACUACGUGCCAGCAGCCGCGGUAAUACGUAGGGUGCGGGCGUUAAUCGUAAUUAGGCGGCGAAAUACGUGCGAAGGCAACUCCCUGGGCUCAACCUAGGAACUGCGUUGGAAACUGAAUAGCUAGAAUAUGUCAGAGGGGGGUAGAAUUCCACGUGUAGCAGUGAAAUGCGUAGAGAUGUGGAGGAAUACCAAUGGCGAAGGCAGCCCCCUGGGAUAAUAUUGACGCUCAUGCACGAAAGCGUGGGGAGCAAACAGGAUUAGAUACCCCAGUAGUC
rnacentral:rRNA from 1 species